rnacentral:rRNA from 1 species
UGAGGAAUAUUGCGCAAUGGGGGAAACCCUGACGCAGCAACGCCGCGUGGGUGAAGAAGGCCUUCGGGUCGUAAAGCCCUUUCGGACGGGACGAACGCUCCGCGGUGACAGCCCGCGGAGCCUGACGGUACCGUAAGAAGAAGCACCGGCUAACUCCGUGCCAGCAGCCGCGGUAAUACGGAGGGUGCAAGCGUUGUUCGGAAUUACUGGGCGUAAAGCGCGUGUAGGCGGCCUUGCAAGCCAGACGUGAAAGCCCCCGGCUUAACCGGGGAAGUGCGUCUGGAACUGCUCAGCUCGAGUACGGGAGAGGGAGGCGGAAUUCCCAGUGUAGAGGUGAAAUUCGUAGAUAUUGGGAGGAACACCGGUGGCGAAAGCGGCCUCCUGGACCGAUACUGACGCUGAGACGCGAAAGCGUGGGGAGCAAACAGGAUUAGAUACCCUGGUAGUCCACGCUGUAAACGAUGGGCACUAGGUGUGGGAGGUAUCGACCCCUUCCGUGCCGCAGCUAACGCAUUAAGUGCCCCGCCUGGGGAGUACGGCCGCAAGGUUG